rnacentral:lncRNA from 1 species
CUUUAUAUAGUAGAUUAAAUUAUUGACGUUGCAGUCUCUUCCUCGUCCGUGUCUUGCUUUAGUCCGAGUGUCAGAGCACGUUCGACUUACCAAAGAUGGUCUAAGUGACCCUGUGUUUCCGAUUAUGACUCUGUACACCCGAGUGAGACCGAGACUGCACCGAUUGAUUUGAGGACUUUGAUGACUGUGUCGGGAGCUAGGUGGCCCCUGGAAUGCAGGUCCAUGACCCUACCCCUAAUGGACAACCCCAUCAGUAGCCCCUGAAUUGGUUGAGGUUUUACUAGACG